rnacentral:rRNA from 1 species
AACGAACGCUGGCGGCAGGCUUAACACAUGCAAGUCGAACGCCCCGCAAGGGGAGUGGCAGACGGGUGAGUAACGCGUGGGAACAUACCCUUUUCUACGGAAUAGCUCUGGGAAACUGGAAUUAAUACUGUAUACGCCCUACGGGGGAAAGAUUUAUCGGGGAAGGAUUGGCCCGCGUUGGAUUAGCUAGUUGGUGGGGUAAAGGCCUACCAAGGCGACGAUCCAUAGCUGGUCUGAGAGGAUGAUCAGCCACAUUGGGACUGAGACACGGCCCAAACUCCUACGGGAGGCAGCAGUGGGGAAUAUUGGACAAUGGGCGCAAGCCUGAUCCAGCCAUGCCGCGUGAGUGAUGAAGGCCUUAGGGUUGUAAAGCUCUUUCACCGAUGAAGAUAAUGACGGUAGUCGGAGAAGAAGCCCCGGCUAACUUCGUG